UAAGCGGGUAGAGGAUUAGGCUUACAAAUUAUUUAAAUGUAAUAUCUCUUUAUCGUUCAAGUUUAAAAGGUUGUAUUUAACUUGGAAAACUUGAAGUAAUAUGAGCACAACAAAAUCUCCAUACAGCGUAAUACUUUUAAUUAAACAAGCCAAAUUUAUAGAACGAUUAUGUUAGUAAGUACGAUUAUGUGACCUGCAUAGUUCCAUUAUUAAAUCCACUGAAUCUUAAAGUUAAUCACUCCCACACAUAUUUUCUCGACGAACUUCAUGGAAACCCUUUUAUAAAGCUCGCUGCAGUCCGGUAACGUUGCGCCAAAAACACGGGAAAAUAAAAGAAAAGGGAAAACACAAAGAGCAAAUCAACUGGGACAGCUAUCAGGCAGAGGAUGUCCAGGCGAUGGAGCGACUGGAUGGAUGGUUGGAUGGAUGGCUGAAUGAAUGAAUGGACAAGCGACUGGUUAACAUCCCAAGGGACGACUGACUGUCGCCUUUGUAGCUCUCCUUUUUUUACCGUCGACUGCCAAGCAAAACAUUGUUUUUGGUUCAUUGCACUGGCAGUGGCCGCUAUGUAGGACAUAGUAUACAAACACCACAGAACCCGCACACUGAAACACUCGAAAACACACAUCCCCAGGCAAUACGUAAAAAAAUCAGAAAGAUUUGCAACUAAACAACCAAAUGUUGUAUGUAAAUAACACCUAAACAAAUCAGCAGGCCCAACCUUUUUCCUCUGCGGUCCCAGCUAAGUGCGGGAAAAUUGCGUUAAUGGGUCCCAGAGGUCCACGGCGAAGUGCUGAUUCACUUAUCAUAACUAAAAUAUUCAAGGCGGUUGUGCAACUUUUCGUAGCCUACUUUUGUGGGGCAGAACAAUUGAGGGUGUCCUUGCCGGUCCAAUGAGAUGCACAUACAUUGCUGAAGUUCAUUAAAAAGUCAAGACUUUUAAAUUUUUCCGAUAAUAAAAUCCCGACUCCUCCGUAUCCAUUCAUGACAUAAGCCCUAAUAAUGAAUUGUUGUUGCUAAGAAGAUUACGUAUACGCAAGGGACGCCGCUCUGUCUGUGGCUUACUUUUUGGCCCCCGCACACAGCUGAGCUGAGAUUCGCUGGUUUUCGACCAGAAGCUGUGCGAUAGCUGCACUUUCCAACACGGACAGGUCUGACAUUUGGCAUUUCCUUUAGCGUGCCCCCAAAUGUCAAAGUUCAGCGCACGUCACAGAAAGACUAACUCGCAGGCUGGCUGACAAAGUAGAGCUUUACCCAUCGAUUUAUUAUUGAUGGCCCCGAUUGUUUGUUUGCUCUGUUUAUUUUGCCUAUCAAAACAGUAAUAACUGAGCGGUUUUUCUGAAAUCUUAUUUGGCCAAGCUUAAGUCUUAUUUAAUUAUCUAGAAAGCAGAUUGGGCCUAGAUUUUUGGCCAAAUUAAGUUGGAACACCACCCCAUUCACCGUUACUGCGCAUGCGUGAGUAAGAGAAACCUGCGGGCAUAUCGAUUCAUUGAAGUCUGCGUUACGCUACAAGUUCCAACAACCACCACUAUUUAAUACACUAUUCAAAACCAUUUGGGCUAGCCCAACUUUCUCAGAAUUUAAUGUAAGCAAGUGCAAGUACUAAAAAUUAAAGGCAACACAUGGACGUGUUUUUAGAAAACAA